UGCAGUCGAACGGAAACGAUGGGAGCUUGCUCCCAGGCGUCGAGUGGCGGACGGGUGAGUAAUACUUAGGAAUCUGCCCAGUAGUGGGGGACAACUCGAGGAAACUCGAGCUAAUACCGCAUACGCCCUACGGGGGAAAGCGGAGGACUCUUCGGAGCUUCGCGCUAUUGGAUGAGCCUAAGUCGGAUUAGCUUGUUGGUGAGGUAAAGGCUCACCAAGGCGACGAUCCGUAGCUGGUCUGAGAGGACGAUCAGCCACACUGGGACUGAGACACGGCCCAGACUCCUACGGGAGGCAGCAGUGGGGAAUAUUGGACAAUGGGGGCAACCCUGAUCCAGCAAUGCCGCGUGUGUGAAGAAGGCCUGCGGGUUGUAAAGCACUUUCAGUAGAGAAGAAAUGCCUACGGCUAAUACCCGUGGGUCUUGACGUAACCUACAGAAGAAGCUCCGGCUAACUCCGUGCCAGCAGCCGCGGUAAUACGGAGGGAGCGAGCGUUAAUCGGAAUUACUGGGCGUAAAGCGCGCGUAGGCGGCUUUGUAAGUCGGAUGUGAAAGCCCCGGGCUCAACCCGGGAAUUGCAUUCGAUACUGCAGAACUAGAGUAUGGUAGAGGGAAGUGGAAU
rnacentral:rRNA from 1 species